UGCCAGCAGCCGCGGUAAUACGGAGGGUGCCAGCGUUAAUCGGAAUUACUGGGCGUAAAGCGCGCGUAGGCGGUUUUGUAAGUCGGGUGUGAAAUCCCUGGGCUUAACCUGGGAACUGCAUGCGAUACUGCAUAACUAGAGUAUGGUAGAGGGAAGUGGAAUUUCCGGUGUAGCGGUGAAAUGCGUAGAUAUCGGAAGGAACACCAGUGGCGAAGGCGACUUACUGGGCCAAUACUGACGCUGAGGUGCGAAAGCGUGGGGAGCAAACAGGAUUAGAUA
rnacentral:rRNA from 1 species